rnacentral:rRNA from 1 species
CCUACGGGCGGCAGCAGUAGGGAAUCUUCCACAAUGGGCGAAAGCCUGAUGGAGCAACGCCGCGUGGGUGAAGAAGGUCUUCGGAUCGUAAAACCCUGUUGUUAGAGAAGAAAGUGCGUGAGCGUAACUGUUCACGUUUCGACGGUAUCUAACCAGCAAGCCACGGCUAACUACGUGCCAGCAGCCGCGGUAAUACGUAGGUGGCAAGCGUUAUCCGGAUUUAUUGGGGGUAAAGGGAGCGCAGGCGGUCUUUUAAGUCUGAUGUGAAAGGCUUGGGCUUAACCGGAGUAGUGCAUUGGAAACUGGAAGACUUGAGUGCAGAAGAGGAGAGUGGAACUCCAUGUGUAGCGGUGAAAUGCGUAGAUAUAUGGAAGAACACCAGUGGCGAAAGCGGCUCUCUGGUCUGUAACUGACGCUGAGGCUCGAAAGCGUGGGUAGCAAACAGGAUUAGAUACCCGUGUAGUC